ensembl:lncRNA
CUAAGGUCCAUUUGAGACUGACAACUAAAUGCUGAGACUAUUGGAACCCCUUUUUCCUACCUUCAAGGAGGUCUAGGAUCCUAUGGAGUAGUUAAGUGUUAGGCCCAGAUGCCUAGUUGCUGUACUUGCUAGAAAGUGACAAAGCACAGACUACCAAAAAGAUUCUGUCCAGAUGCCAGAACCAUGUCAGAUACAAAGUCACAUACAGCUGCUGUCUUCUCCAGUUUGGAUAAGCCAGAGGACCAUGUAUUCUCUCUCCUUUCGAAGACAGAGUAGGCACUAAACUCAUGGAGGUCUCAGAUCCUGGUUCCUGGUGAUGUGGUUAUGGCAAGCAUCCCUGAGACAAAACAAUGACGGAGUGGUGGAAAAACAAAACAAAACAGCUGCAGUAGAAUGGCAUACUCUGAGCUUGGAAAGAGUGUACUUCUGGUUUGGGGACACUUAGUAGACCAGCUAUCCUGCAGAAAUGAUGGAAUAACUGAGGGAAUGGAAGUGAAGUAUGCAGCUGAAUUCCAGAAAAAACACGGUAAUUUUAUUCUUCUCCUUUUCCAGAUAAAAAAAUUGAGUAGCUUUCUCAGUCUGAAUAGUAACUAGUUGUUUUGAACCUUCAAAAUUUGCGUUUUCUCAUUCUAUUACUAAUUUGUGAAGUUAUAACUCUUACCUUGAAAUCUUCAGAGGUUUUGCUCACUUAUUAACAAGCUUGCAAACAGUCCAUCAACAUUUAAGAUAGAAAAGUCUACCUGGAAAAUUUUGUGAUAGUCAAAAGCCACUAG